UACGAAGGGUGCAAACGUUGCUCGGAAUUAUUGGGCGUAAAGCGCACGUAGGCGGCUUGGCAAGUCGGAUGUGAAAUCCCUCGGCUCAACCAAGGAAGUGCAUCCGAAACUGCUGAGCUUGAGUUCUUAAGAGGAUCGCGGAAUUCCCGGUGUAGAGGUGAAAUUCGUAGAUAUCAGGAAGAACACCAAUGGCGAAAGCAGCUCUCUGGGACGGUACUGACGCUGAGACGCGAAAGCGUGGGGAGCGAACAGG
rnacentral:rRNA from 1 species